UACGAGGGGUGAGCGUUGUCCGGAAUUACUGGGCGUAAAGAGUUCGUAGGCGGUUUGUCGCGUCGUUCGUGAAAACUUGGGGCUUAACUCCAAGCGUGCGGGCGAUACGGGCAGACUUGAGUACUACAGGGGAGACUGGAAUUCCUGGUGUAGCGGUGAAAUGCGCAGAUAUCAGGAGGAACACCGGUGGCGAAGGCGGGUCUCUGGGUAGUAACUGACGCUGAGGAACGAAAGCGUGGGUAGCGAACAGG
rnacentral:rRNA from 1 species